CCUUAUGGCUAAAUCUAACCUAGACUAGUGCCAUGAUUGAGCUAAGGACUUGAAAACCCCAAAUACCAUAAACUUAGGAGUUUAAGGUAGUAAACUCGUGAGUUUAAGGUAGUAAACUCAUGAGAAAUGGUCCUUAGACCGUAAACUCCAUUUAGGAGUGUUUUGAUGCCACACAACACUUCCUAAAACUAAUUCAUGAAGUAGGAAUGCUUGGAAUAGCCUAGAAGACUUCAAAUCACCAAAUGGUCAAAAGGUUAGGAGUUUACGACCGUAAACUCAAGAGUUUACGACCGUAAACUCAAGGGGUGUUGAUCCUUAGGGAGUAAACUCAUUUUAAGAGUGUUCCUUGAACCCCAAUCAUACUAGCCUUUCCUUACAACNUAUCACUUAUAACACUUAUACAAAGUGUUUGUCAUGCUUUAGAGUGUCCUGACUUUGUUUAUUAGUUGUUUAAAUACUAAUUGUUAAUAUACAUAUAUCCUUAUAUGUUAUUAGGAUCUUUGUGCGUGUCUAAGUCUUCACUUGACACCAAGCACUUAUCCGACACUUCCUUCCGAUCCACUUGCUACAGGUGAGUUCAGAACCCUUAAUCAAUUUUUUAACUGUUUUUAAAUGUUUUAUGGGGGGAUACAAGUAGAAACACGCUAGUUAUUAUAUCAAUUAUUUGUGAUUAAUAAACAACAUUCAAAUGAUUGGCUACUCAUUAGCCGUUUUACCAAACAGUUUCCUUCAAAUGUUUUUCAUAAACACUUUAUUUGUUUAAAACUCCUUAUUACAAUAUACCUUUUACUCUGUAUGUUUCAUUUCAAACAUAUUUACAAUUGUGUUUCAAACAAAUAUUUUUUUAUACAAAACUGUUUUAUCAAACCCAUUCCUUCAAACCGUUUUAUAGAUUGGCAUCAAGUCGAUAUUCUCUUAAGAUAAUAAUUAUGUUCAAAGGUUUUACAAAACUUAUUUAUGCUUUUAUAUUAUAAAUUGCAUGCCUCUAUAUGUAUAGUUAUAUAAUAAAUGUUUAAAAGACUUAGGAAGGCUAUCCACCCUAUUUCCUUUUCGCGCUUGAGNGUGGUCUUGUGGAUAUCGGGUACUCGUCCGAAGGUCGUUUAAAUAUUAGUUAUAAAACAUAUGUACAUAUAUAGUCAUAAAGGCCCUUCCAGUUUAUCCCAUUCCCUUUGGUAGCAAGGGUAUACAUCCAUGUCCAUACGUACCAGUUAGAUUAUUAGUAAACUACCAUAUGGGUAGUUUAGGAAGAUACUAGAACUAUUAGUAGAAUGCGAUAUCAUACAAUGAGUCAGUUCAUUCAUGAGUCAAUACUUUCUAGAUAGAGAGAACAUACAUUACUAUGAGAACAUAUACAUUACAUUACUAUGAGUACAUAUACAACUAUACUAGGAGAAGAACAUAUACAACUAUACUAGAAAGAGAACAUAUGCAACUAUACUAGAAAGAGAACAUAUACAACGAUAGUAGAACGAGUACAAUACUAUACUUGCUAGGUAGAGAGCACAUACAUUACAGCUAGUACAUUACAGUACAUUACUAUACUUGCUAGGUAGAGAGCACAUACAUUACAGCUAGUACAUUACAAUACAUUACUAUACUUGCUAGGUAGAGAGCACGUACAUUACAGCUAGAACAGUUCUUUACAUUACAUAUACAUGAAUACGAUAAUUAUUGUGAUAUGAAUCGGAGCAUGACUUCAAUUUCAUGGCCCGAGUUGUAGCCAGAGUAUCUUGAAGGGAGAGCGUGAGUUUGCACACAGAUCUAUACUGGAUUGACUAUCCUACACCUUGCUGCUAGCUACAGCCGGACCUGCAGGUCUGCAGGUGCCAAACGUCAUUUCUUUUCACGACCUACAUUUUUCGUUGUUUAUCCAGUCGAUAGUAUGGUACAAUUAAUCACAUGAUGCCUUAAUAUAAAUCCGGUUUAAGGUAGUUAGUACAGCAGUCGUUCUUAUAGCGCUAGAUUUUAGUACUACAUUAAUUUUCCCUGUACAUAUAUUUAGUGAUCUUUUCACUUAAACUAUAAAUUUAAAAACUAUAUUUUGUUAAUGAUAGUUACACUUUGGAAAAUUACACACUUUUAAAUGAAACGAACAUUUAGAACAGUUAAGUCUUGGUAGAAGACAACAUUGAGAAUAGUUAGGUCUUGGUAGAAGAUACACUUUAUAUAAUAGUAGGAAUCAUAGGGAUUUCUAAGGUUUUUCAUACGUUUACAGUUGUUUUACAAAUAUUUUUACAUUUACAGUUCAUAUACAUUUUCAAUACUUACAAUUCAUAUACAUUUUCCAUUUACAGUUCAUAUACAUUUUUAAUACUUACAAUUCAUAUACAUUUUCCAUUUAUAGUUCAUAUACAUUUUCAAUACUUACAAUUCAUAUACAUUUUCCAUACUUGCAGUUCAUAUACAUACAAAUUAAGACAAUAAAAUACUUAUGAUCUCACCAGCUUCAAAGCUGAUACUCGCUUUCAAAAUUACUUGUAUCCUCAGGUCAUGUAUAGACAGGUACAGAUGCAAGGUUUAGAGAAGAUGGAGCUCGUUCAAGACUCAUCUUUCAUUUUGAUUUGUGCUUUAGUGUCUAUUAUAAUUUGACAGAACACACUUGUAUAAUAGUUAUUUUAUUAAUGAAAUGGAUGAUGUUGUUGCUUGUUUACUACUUUACAUUGCUGUGAUACUGUACAUGACUUCCUCCGCCCCAGAACAUUUCCGCCAUUCUUGGUUUCGAUGUGUGACAUAGAGUCUUACCUUUUUGCGAGACCGUGUCAGUAUAAGGAUGCUCGUUGUAACAACCCAAAAUCUCAAGUAUUGUUAAAUUGCAUUUUGGGGUGUUUUAAAGGGGAGACUCGGCGAGUUGGAGCCAGACUCGCCGAGUAGGGUCGCAGAUCUGGUCGCGGGUUCGCGACUGGACUCGACGAGUCCAGAUAUGGACUCGACGAGUCGACGCUGUUCAGCAGAAACCCUAGCCGUUUCGUAUUGGGUCGUAUUUAAGGGUUGUAUGUCGUCAUUUCACGUCUUUUGGCCGAUUGUGGAGAACCCUAGACGACUGUGGCAUUUGGAGCAAAACUUGAAGGCCAUUAUUGACUUUGAAGGAAUUGUGGUGCAAGAAGAGGAAGGAUUUUGGCCAAAGGAAGAGCAAGGGGGUCGAGUUCUGAGGUUUGGGGACACAGAGAGUAUGUUUUCAGGUAAGGUUUCAGAUCAUUCCUGUUAUUUUGAUGUGUACACGAAUUUAGGGUUUAUGAAACCCAUUUGGAGAUUUGAUGGAUUAUUAUGUUGUUAUACAAAGGUUUCUACCCUAGUAAUAGGAUGAUUAGAGGUCCAGAAGUCCCAUGAGUGUGUAUCUCGGGAAAAACGUAUCUCAGGAAGCAGUUGGAUCGACUGCAUGGCGUGGACUCGCCGAGUCGGAUGAUCAGACUCGGCGAGUAGCUUGAAGAUUCACUGGGACUCGCCGAGUUGUUCUUCAGACUCGGCGAGUGGAGUCGGGGUGGCCCCGCGAUUCUUCCAGGAGUGACUCGUCGAGUCAAAGAGGAUACUCGACGAGUAGAAGGGGAAUCUCAGAGGAUUGAAGGACGACCAGACUCGCCGAGUCGCCAGGGAACUCGCCGAGUCCAGUCGAGCUGACAAUGGACUGUUGACCAGAGUUGACUGGUGUGAUUUCUUAGGGUCAGUUAACGUGGAAGAUAGAAGUAUUAAAUAAGGGAUAUAUGAUGUUACAGGGAGCUUGUAGCUCGGAGGAUCAAGUGCAAGGGAUUUUAGGAGUUGCUAUCUUCUAGUGUCCGCGAGGUGAGUCUUCUCACUAUACUGUACCCGGAAGGGUUUGACUGUGUGACCGGAAGGUCGGAUAUGAUAUGUGAUAUGUAUGCUAUAUGUGGUAUGUUAUAUGUUAUAUGUGCUAUGUAUUAUGGGCCGGAAGGCGAUAUGAUGUGUGAUGGACCGGAAGGUCGGCGUGGGUAAGGCCGGAAGGUUUACCCAGCAGGGACGGAAGUCCCCUGAGACACAUGGACCGGAAGGUCGGGCCUGGAAAGGCGUACGUGCGUAAGUUGUAUAUUGGGGAACUCACUAAGCUUCGUGCUUACGUCGUUUAUGUUAUGUUGUUUCAGGUUCUUACAGUAACGCGGGAUGGCAACGGUUCAAUUGUACACACCGAAGAAAGAGUUGUGUUUUGGAGGAUCCUGGUCUUCUAUUAUAACGAAAAUGAAACCAUGUUUUGUAAUUCAAAUGUGAUUAAGACUUUAAACAAGUGUUUUUAAUAUUAAAUUGAUUAAUUAAAUAAGAAAUUUUGUUUUUGGAAAUUACGGUGUUACACUCGUGCUGCGUAUACUUGCCUUUUGUAGUAUACCUAAUUCGCAGCAAUGAUCUUGUUGUAAGUCUAAAAGUAUUGUAACUUUGUUGAUGGUUGCACGGUUGUGUUUCGUCUGUAAAACGUUUUAUGUUCAAAUCUAAUGUCUUUAACUUUCAGUAUGAUUCCGACACUAUCAUACGACUCGAUUCAAUUUGAUCUUCACGAAAACAGCUUCAUACGUACAUCUCUUUCUUCGAAAUCGCUCUUCCAGCAAAUUCGUCAUAUUAGAACACUGAAGUACUCAGGCAUGGAGUACCUUAUAUUUCUUUCCUUUCCGAAGGAAUCCCCGAAGUACCACUCGUGCAGUACGUUAAGUUCAACCCAAAAAUUCAUACGGUGGAUCUAUCACUGAGGAAGUUAUACAUAAGGGUAAUGUGUAAUCAAGGUUCUACAAGUUUAGAAUUGAUGAUUCCACUUUAACUUCUUUUUCCCUACUGGGAUAUGAGCUUAAAGAAGAAUCAGUUAUUCGACUACCUUUUCAAUAUUAAUUAUAUACAACUCGUAUACACGAGAUUGUGAUUGUGAAAACAUGUAUGAAUUCUAAUAUGAACUUCAGGACGGAGAACUGCCUAAGCCUACAAGUAAUCGCAUCGUCAUUUGAACAAACUUAGAACCCAGUACGACUCCUGUAAACCGAUGGCCCUACAGUCUAAACACCUAUGGAAAUACAAGAACAACCCGGACAACUUAACGAACUACUCAGAAAUAGAAUUAGAAGACUAGGCUUCUCACCCUGGAGAACCCCGGUCGUAUUCUUCCAGAGAUCGAUGGAUCGCGUCGUAUGUACCUCGGCUAUCGAGUACUCUGUCAAGAUUUUCAUUAGAAAUCGUUAUCUCUGCCUCGCAUAGAUGAAAUGGUUGAGCAAACGCAAGGAGAUAAUUACUUUCAGAAAUGGAUUUGAUAUCCAAAUAUCACCAGUUUGAGUGUUAGAGAAGGAUGUCCAGAAGACUACCUUCUGAACUCGAUGCAGACACUUCGAGUCCGUAGUGAUACCCUUCGGAUAGGACCAAUACGCCCAUAGUUUUCAUGAGCUAAAUGAGUAGGGUACGUAUUUCUACUUGUAUCAGUUCGUCAUUCUCCAUGUAAUGACUUACUUAUCUACCCUCGUAGUAAGAAGUAACCCAUGGAAACAUUACCUUCGGAGGAACUUACGCAAAGUUCUCUAAACACGAGUUUUGAAAUUGAAGGGUUAGAUUUCCUACGACACACUAUUAGUGAUGUGGAAAAUUUUGAGUACUCUUUCAAUUUGUCAAAACCGUUGAGAAAUUGUCAACACCAGAGACGCCGACAGAAAUUGACCACAUUCUAGGUCUUACAGACCUACUAUCAUAGCUCAUUCAGAACUCCUCCCAAAUUACAAGAACCCUUUCGACUUUGACCCAGCAAGGGGUGGCCCUUGACUGGGAAGUUUAGCAAGAGAAAGAACCCUUGGAAGCUCCAAGUGAGAGACCAAGUUCUUUAGGAAAAACUCACUCUAGGAAUGGCUUAAUACGCUUCAUAUCGCGUGGAAAGCAAAAUUCAAGAUAGAUAGGACCUCCGGGAUUCUUACCAGAACCGGUCCUGUACCUCGCACAGACUAGACCUACUCCGCGAACUCAGCAACGUACAUUUUACUCUUCGCGUCUCGAUCGUGAAACCAUACCUUUCCGUUAGGACUCUAGUAAGUCCACUCGUAGAGAUCCUCGCCUUCGUAUUUGAACCGCAGUGACCCUCAACUGAGAGGUCAAGCAAGCGAAGCAACACAGUCGCCCGUUAGUGAAGGUUCGUUGGGAUACCAACCGAAGACCCAAUUUCACUUAGGAGCGCUAGAACCAACCGAUUAGGAAGUUUCCUCCUCUCGACUCGAUCAUUCACACCUACUUCCUAAUCUAAAUUCUAAUUUCGAGACGAAAUUCCCUUUAGCAGGGGGAUGAUGGGACAACCCGAAAUUUCCAUUCGGUCAAACCCUAAAAGCCAACUCAUUUGUAUCAUAAGCCAAUGUCAUUAUUUCUUAUUUUUAAGAAAUAUAAAAUUCGUUUGAUUAUUUUAAUAUUAUUUUUAAGCGAAUGGGUGAAAGAAAGUGUCAUCUCGGGUUUUGAUUUUUGAAAACCGCAAACACUUCGCGUAUUAGAAACACCCGACCAAACUUUUAUGUUUGGGUUGAAAAAUCACCCGAAAAUCGUGAACUCAUACCUAUGUAUGAGUUUACUCCCCAAAAACUAGUCAUUUGUGUUUACUCCCCAAAAGUCAAAAAGAGUAAACUCCAAAAUAUCCUCUCAAGUAUCAUCCACGUUUUUAUUCCAAAUCUUUAAAGUUGUAAGUUUUCUAAACAUUUCAAGUUAGUAUAUCACUUAAUAUAGUGAUUUUACAUCCUUUAAUCCAUUCAUUUAUGUGUUUUGACUAGUUUUUCCAAAACAACAAGAACACCAAGAACACACACUAAGUGUUCUUGGCCUUUUAGCUCAAAUCAAGCCUUCUUAUAGUAAGUAGUUCCAUCCUUGAACAUUAUUGAGCUAGUACUACAUUUAAACUUCAAGAAAAUAUGUCAAGAACACAAGAUUGGAGGUGUUCACGGUCCAAGAAUGUUCUUGGGUCGUAAACAGCAUAAAGGGCACCAAAGUGUGCCUAAGUCCUUAUCUAAUUCCUAGUUUGAUGUUUAAACCAUCCUUGACACAUUUAAACCCUUCCUUAUAGUGUUUAAGCCUUCAAAAAGCACCAAAAUCCCCACUUUUAUGUGUUUACGGUCUAGGGAUGUCCCAAAACCGUAAACACCCCAAAAGUGUGUAAAUGUCUAUUAAAAGUCCCAUGGUUGUUCCUUAUGGCUAAAUCUAACCUAGACUAGUGCCAUGAUUGAGCUAAGGACUUGAAAACCCCAAAUACCAUAAACUUAGGAGUUUAAGGUAGUAAACUCAUGAGUUUAAGGUAGUAAACUCAUGAGAAAUGGUCCUUAGACCGUAAACUCCAUUUAGGAGUGUUUUGAUGCCACACAACACUUCCUAAGACUAAUUCAUGAAGUAGGAAUGCGUGGAAUAGCUUAGAAGACUUCAAUUUACCAAAUGGUCAAAAGGUUAGGAGUUUACGACCGUAAACUCAAGAGUUUAAGACCGUAAACUCAAGUGGUGUUGAUCCCUAGGGAGUAAACUCAUUUUAAGAGUGUUCCUUGAACCCCAAUCAUACUAGCCUUUCCCUACAACACUUAGAUGCACUCCUUAGCACUUAUAGCACUUAUACAAAGUGUUUGUCAUGCUUUAGAGUGUCUUGACUUUGUUUAUUAGUUGUUUAAAGACUAAUUGUUGAUAUACAUAUAUCCUUAUAUGUUAUUAGGAUCUUUGUGCGUGUCUAAGUCUUCACUUGACACCAAGCACUUAUCCGACACUUCCUUCCGAUCCACUUGCUACAGGUGAGUUCAGACCCCUUAAUCAAUGUUUUAAUUGUUUUUAAAUGUUUUAUGGGGGGGGAUACAAGUAGAAACAUGCUAGUUAUUAUAUCAAUUAUUUGUGAUUAAUAAACAACAUUCAAAUGAUUGGCUACUCAUUAGCCGUUUUACCAAACAGUUUCCUUCAAAUGUUUUUCAUAAACACUUUAUGUGUUCAAAACACCUUAUUACACUGUACCUUUUACUCUGUAUGUUUCAUUUCAAACUUAUUUACAAUUGUGUUUCAAACAAAUGUUUCUUUAUACUAAACUGUUUUAUCAAACCCAUGCCUUCAAACCGUUUUAUAGAUUGACAUCAAGUCGAUCUUUUCUUGGAUAAUAAUUAUGUUCAAAGGUUUUACAAAACUUAUUUUAUGCUUUUAUAUUAUAAAUUGCAUGCCUCUAUAUGUAUAGUUAUAUAAGAAAUGUGUAAAAGACUUAGGAAGGUUAUACUAGAACGAGUACAAUACUAUACUUGCUAAGUAGAGAGCACG
rnacentral:lncRNA from 1 species